CACUCUUAAGCUUCAAGUCCCAGAACUGUCAGGAUUGCUCUUAAUUACUAAUGUGCGACGAAGGGUGGAGCACGGCAUCCAGCCGAGGAAGUUAGUCUCCAGCACGUGCCCUUCAGGCUUGUCCAGCCCUGCUCUCUGGUCCCUCUUCACCAAGAAGCGGAGCUCAGUCUGUUCCACUCGCUCUUCCCUUUGUUCCCGUGCCCAGGACAUCCGGUCCAAUGCCUGUGCUAAGCCGUCUGGGACUGAAGGCUCUGAAACCGUGACUCCAAACAAAUCCGUUCUCACUCAGGUUGUUUAUGUUUGGCAUUCCAUCGCCCAAGGCGAAAAUAGCUAGCGGGUACACUGGACUCGGGAACCCUGCACGAAUUGCUGCGACUCUGGGAAGAAUCAGGGAACUCCGUUAUACAAUAAAACUGCUAGUUCCUGUUUCCCUGCA